rnacentral:rRNA from 1 species
GACGAACGCUGGCGGCGUGCUUAACACAUGCAAGUCGAACGGAAAGGCCCUGCUUUUGUGGGGUGCUCGAGUGGCGAACGGGUGAGUAACACGUGAGUAACCUGCCCUUGACUUUGGGAUAACUUCAGGAAACUGGGGCUAAUACCGGAUAGGAACUCCUGCUGCAUGGUGGGGGUUGGAAAGUUUCGGCGGUUGGGGAUGGACUCGCGGCUUAUCAGCUUGUUGGUGGGGUAGUGGCUUACCAAGGCUUUGACGGGUAGCCGGCCUGAGAGGGUGACCGGACAAGUUGGGACAGAAUUACGCGCAAGACUCCGACGAGAGGCAGCAAGGGGGAUUAUUGGACGAAGGGCUGCAGCAUGAAGCACCAGCUCCGCUUUCGGGAUGAAGGCCUCCGGGUAGUAAGCCGAUGACGCCUGUGAAGAAGCGUGAAUGACGGUGAUGUGAAAAGAAGCACCGGCUAAAUACGUA